UAUGUGAUCGUCUCUCGCAUAUCAAUAAGCGGAGGAAAAGAAACUAACAAGGAUUCCCCUAGUAACGGCGAGUGAAGCGGGAAGAGCUCAAAUUUGAAAUCUUAAAGGGUUUCCCUUUACGAAUUGUAGUUUAAAGAAGUGUUUUCUGUUGAGGUUUUGGUAAAAGUUCUUUGGAAUAGGACAUCAUAGAGGGUGAGAAUCCCGUAUUUGACCUUUACUUUCAACUUUGUGAUACACUUUCAAAGAGUCGGGAUUGUUUGGGAAUGCAGUCCAAAAUGGGUGGUAAAUUUCAUCUAAAGCUAAAUAUUGGCGAGAGACCGAUAGCGAACAAGUACCGUGAGGGAAAGAUGAAAAGAACUUUGAAAAGAGAGUUAAACAGUACGUGAAAUUGUCAAAAGGGAAGCGUUUGACACCAGUGUUGUUUUUCUGAAAAUCAAUUAAAGAACUGUUUAUGCUAAGUUGUUUAGACUUUAUCAGCUAACUGUUUAGCUUUUGAGCUUUUCUUUAAUGCACUUUUCAGUUAACAAGUCAACAUCAAUUUCUUUUGCUGUAAAAAAGCUUGAGGAAGGUGGCUUGAGAUUCGUCUUAAGUGUUUAUAGCCUCUUGCCUAUGCAGUCGGAGAGAUUGAGGUCUGCAGCGUAGAUCCUUCGGGGCUAAAUGCAUUUGUGCUAAGUUAUAGCAUUUUUAUAGACAACUUGUUGACUAUGAUUUGUCUUGUAGCUUACUCGCUUAUGUUAUUUUACCUACGCUUAGGAUGUUGAAGACUCUACAGAGAU
rnacentral:rRNA from 1 species